AGCCGAAGCAGAUGUUCGUUAAGCGUCAGGAAAGCCAUGCAUCUCGUUACGCGCCUGGGCGAGGUGCCUGCGCCUAGCACUGACACAUCUGCCCGGCGCUAACAAACCGGGGACGCCAUUCCCAGUGGAAAUGCAGCCGGAGAGGGAUGAGGAGAGGCUGUAGGCGCUCCGGCGGAGCUGCUUCGCGCCUGGCCGCACCGGGAAGGGGUGCCUCGACCGGCGGCAGCCUCGGGAAAGCCUCGGAGCUGCCGCGGGCUCCGUGCCUGGCGCCGCGUGGGGGGCCGGCCAUGCUGCGAGCAGGCCACGAGCCCGGCGGCGGUGCCGGGAGGUGAGCGGCCCCCGGCGCCACGUCGUCGUCCCCGAGCGGCUCUCGGCGAACCUCUCGCUGCUCCCGGCGUCCGCAGAGGAAGCUGUCCCCGAGCCGAUGGUGACGUCCGUCCUGCGGGACGCGUUCUCCCACACCUCUCCCUCUGCAGCUGAGCGCCGCUGACCUCCCGAGGGCCUCCUCCCUGUGAGACGUGCCGGCGAGAUGUUCUCCAACAAGUGCCGCAGGAGGGGGCACCCGGCCGCUCCCUGGGAGCCCGGUCCGUGGCAGCCCAGACCCCACGCUCCCAGCCCCCAGGACAACUGGUACGAGCCGCCGUGGGAGCGCCAGCCCUGGAGAGGCGGGCAUAACAGGCACCCGCCCGGUCCCCGGCACCCCCAGCCUUUCCCCGGCCCCGCCAACUUCCAUAGGAUGGAGGAGGACAGGAGGUGGGCACCGCACGACUGUCCCCGUCCGCCACCCCCCUGGCACUACAGAGAAGAGUACCAAAGACCCGAGGAAAACUUUACCGAGGACUCGUACCCGGUGCCGCCGCUGUUUGCCCCGGGCUGCUUCGCCUGGUCUGAGUUCUCCAGAGAGGAGCAGCACCCCGCCGACUUCCCAUGGGAGCAAGGAGCCUUCCAGGAAGGCUGCCCGCCCUGGCGCUCUCGUGGCCUGCGCCAGAAACGCUGCCGACUCCUUCGCCAUGUCCAGCAAGAGACGUCGGCGUACCACGGCCCGGCCUCUCCCCAGCUCUCCAAAGGGAAGCACGCGUCCUCCAAGUCCUCCCAGUCCUGCCCCCAGCAGAGCCAGCCAGGAGGCAAGGAGGAGCCGCAGCACCCCGACGCUCCCCAGCCAGCUAGCGCCUGCAAAGACAGCGUGCAGAGCGGGGGGCAGGUGGAUGAGGGCCUGCCGGCAGCGAGCGGAGAGGUGUCGGAGCCCCCCGGGCCAGCAGCCUCCCCGCAGAAGAGCCCAGCCACUGAUCCUCAGGCUGCGGAGCAGGAGCCAGCGGCAGAAGCAAAGCUGGUCGAGCCAGAAGACGGGCAGAAAGCUGCAGGCAGCCAGGGCCAGGGCCCCUCUGCUUUGGAAACGGAGCCAGUCCUGCCGGAGAACACCUGUACCGGGAAGGAGGAGGACUUCGAGCAGGUAGAGCCGUGCAGCCAAAGUGCCCCCGAGGCCGGAGCAGGUGCUGGGUCACAACCCCGCAGCCCCUCAGCCCCUCCGGAGCCUGCUGAGACGGGCAGCGCCGCAGCUAGCCCGGGUGUGGAGGUAGGUGCUGGGCUCUGCCUGCUCUCCCGGGCAUGGCAGCAGCUGCCCGUGGCGGGACGGGUUUCAGGCCGUGGCUGCGCUGCUCCGCAGCGUUUCCUCCUGCUGAGGUUUCCCUUCGUGAGGGCAGCAGCGUUUGCUUGGCUCCCGCUGCUCUCGCACAGCUGCUGCCUUCUUCCCCUGGGUGCUUUCUCUCCUGAUGCUUCUUGGUGGCUUUCAUCCCUCCGAAAACUCGCAGGUCUCACCAGGAGCUGCUGUGGAGGCCGAUGCGCAGCCCAGCCAGGCCAGCUCCGAUGUCUGCACCGAGCCAGCAGCGUCACCUGGGACAGGGCACCCUCCUGUGGGUGGGACGGAGCUGGUACGUGCGCUGCCCUCCCUUCUGGGCAGGAACGGUGCCCUCGUGUCCCUGGGAACACCUGCAGCGAGGCUCAGGAACACCAAUUUAACCCAGGAGCCCCGGGGGGAUUUUCUCGCUGGCCUUCCCAGCCACAGGAUUAUGUGCUGGGGUUAAAGCGCCGCUUUGUCUGGAUGCAGCGCCCGUAUCAGCCCUGCUGUCGGCCGUGCAGGAGAUGCCGAUAA
rnacentral:lncRNA from 1 species